rnacentral:rRNA from 1 species
UACGGAGGGUGCAAACGUUGCUCGGAAUCAUUGGGCGUAAAGCGCACGUAGGCGGUCCGUUAUGUCGGGUGUGAAAGCCCUCGGCUUAACCGAGGAAGUGCAUUCGAAACUGGCGGACUUGAGUACCGGAGAGGGUCGCGGAAUUCCCGGUGUAGAGGUGAAAUUCGUAGAUAUCGGGAGGAACACCGGUGGCGAAGGCGGCAUCCUGGACCGAAACUGACACUGAGGCGCGAAAGCCAGGGGAGCAAACGGG